rnacentral:rRNA from 1 species
GUGCCAGCAGCCGCGGUAAUACGGAGGGUGCGAGCGUUAAUCGGAAUUACUGAGCGUAAAGCGCGCGUAGGCGGUUCAACAAGUCGGUCGUGAAAGUUCAGGGCCCAACCCUGAAAUGUCGAUCGAUACUGUUGUGACUAGGAUACGGUAGAGGUGAGUGGAAUUCCGAGUGUAGCGGUGAAAUGCGUAGAUAUUCGGAGGAACACCAAUUGCGAAGGCAGCUCACUGGGCCGCUAUCGACGCUGAGGAGCGAAAGCUAGGGGAGCAAACAGGAUUAGAUA